rnacentral:rRNA from 1 species
ACGCUGGCGGCAUGCCUAACACAUGCAAGUCGAACGGACAGAACAGGGAAGCUUUUCGGAGUGGAACUGGAAAGUUAGUGGCGGAUGGGUGAGUAACGCGUGGACAACCUACCUUGUAAAGGGGAAUAACCUCGAGAAAUCGAAGCUAAUACCCCAUAAUAACCUUGCUUCGCAUGAAGUAAGGAGGAAAGGCGGCCUUAGCGCUGUCGAUACAAGAUGGGUCCGCGUCUGAUUAGCUAGUUGGUGAGGUAAAGGCUCACCAAGGCGACGAUCAGUAGCCGGCCUGAGAGGGUGAACGGCCACAUUGGGACUGAGACACGGCCCAAACUCCUACGGGAGGCAGCAGUGGGGAAUCUUCCGCAAUGGGCGAAAGCCUGACGGAGCAAUGCCGCGUGAGUGAAGAAGGCCUUCGGGUUGUAAAACUCUGUCCUUAUCGAAGAGAGAGUGUUGUAGUAACUGACAAUACUAGGACGGUAGAUGAGGAGGAAGCCCCGGCUAACUAUGUG